rnacentral:rRNA from 1 species
AACGAACGCUGGCGGCAGGCCUAACACAUGCAAGUCGAGCGAAGCCCUCGGGCUUAGCGGCGGACGGGUGAGUAACGCGUGGGAACGUGCCCUUUGGUACGGAAUAGCCCCGGGAAACUGGGAGUUAUACCGUAUGUGCCCUUCGGGGGAAAGAUUUAUCGCCAAAGGAUCGGCCCGCGUGGGAUGAGGUAGUUGGUGGGGUAAUGGCCUACCAAGCCGACGAUCCAUAGCUGGUUUGAGAGGAUGAUCAGCCACACUGGGACUGAGACACGGCCCAGACUCCUACGGGAGGCAGCAGUGGGGAAUCUUAGACAAUGGGGGAAACCCUGAUCUAGCCAUGCCGCGUGAUCGAUGAAGGCCUUAGGGUUGUAAAGAUCUUUCAGUGGGGAAGAUAAUGACUGUACCCACAGAAGAAGCCCCGGCUAACUCCGUGCCAGCCGCCGCAGUAAUAC